CACGUAGGGGACGAGCGUUGUCCGGAUUCAUUGGGCGUAAAGCGUGCGUAGGCGGCUCGGAAAGUCGGUCGUGAAAUGCCGGGGCUCAACCCCGGGACUGCGUCCGAUACUUCCGGGCUGGAGGUAGGUAGGGGAGAUCGGAAUUCCUGGUGUAGCGGUGAAAUGCGCAGAUAUCAGGAGGAACACCGGUGGCGAAGGCGGAUCUCUGGGCCUUACCUGACGCUGAGGAGCGAAAGCGUGGGGAGCGAACAGG
rnacentral:rRNA from 1 species